rnacentral:rRNA from 1 species
AACGAACGCUGGCGGCAUGCCUAACACAUGCAAGUCGAACGGGAUCCGGACUUCGGUCCGGUGAGAGUGGCGGACGGGUGAGUAACACGUGGGAACCUGCCUUUUGGUUCGGGAUAACCGCGGGAAACUGCGGCUAAUACCGGAUGCUCCCGAGAGGGAAAAGAUUUAUCGCCAGAAGAGGGGCCCGCGUCCGAUUAGGUAGUUGGUGGGGUAAUGGCCUACCAAGCCGACGAUCGGUAGCUGGUCUGAGAGGAUGAUCAGCCACACUGGGACUGAGAUACGGCCCAGACUCCUACGGGAGGCAGCAGUGGGGAAUAUUGGACAAUGGGGGCAACCCUGAUCCAGCAAUGCCGCGUGAGUGAUGAAGGCCUUAGGGUUGUAAAGCUCUUUGUCCAGGGAAGAUGAUGACUGUACCUGGAGAAUAAGCCCCGGCUAACUUCGUGCCAGCAGCCGCGGUAU